UCGCACGGUCAGCAAUGGCAGUGGCGGACGGGUGAGUAACACGUAGGAAUCUAUCCCAGGGUGGGGGACAACAGCGGGAAACUGCUGCUAAUACCGCAUGAUACCUGAGGGUCAAAGGCGCAAGUCGCCUUGGGAGGAGCCUGCGUCUGAUUAGCUUGUUGGUGAGGUAAAGGCUCACCAAGGCUACGAUCAGUAGCUGGUCUGAGAGGAUGAUCAGCCACAUUGGGACUGAGACACGGCCCAAACUCCUACGGGAGGCAGCAGUGGGGAAUAUUGGACAAUGGGCGAAAGCCUGAUCCAGCAAUGCCGCGUGUGUGAAGAAGGUCUUCGGAUUGUAAAGCACUUUUGGCAGGGACGAUGAUGACGGUACCUGCAGAAUAAGCCCCGGCCAACUACGUGCC
rnacentral:rRNA from 1 species